GGCCUCCUAAUUCUUACCACAGACUGCGUUCAUAACACUGACUGUAUAGAAAGCGGAGGUACAGGAAAUACACUCCAUAUACACCUCAACCCAGGCUCUUUGCCUGGUCGUAUUGUGACUUGGGGUACAAAA